rnacentral:rRNA from 1 species
GACGAACGCUGGCGGCGUGCUUAACACAUGCAAGUCGAACGAAGUGGCGAACGGGUGAGUAACGCGUAAUCAACCUGCCCUUCAGAGGGGGACAACAGUUGGAAACGACUGCUAAUACCGCAUCCUGAAGGAGGGGAUUGCGUCUGAUUAGCUAGUUGGAGGGGUAAGUGCCCACCAAGGCGAUGAGACGUAGCCGGGCGUGAGGGGUGAAGUGCCAAAUUGGGAACUGAAGACGGGCCAAACUCCUAAGGGGGGGAACAGGGGGGAAUUGUGCGGAAUUGGGGCAACCCCUGAGCCGCCCUGCCGGGUAAGUGAGGAGGGCCUUGGGGUUGUAAGGUCUUUUGGGAGAUGGCGUUAACUACAGAAGAAGCACCGGCUAACUCCGUGCCAGCCGCCGCGGUAAUAC